CUGGGGUGAAGUCGUAACAAGGUAUCCGUAGGGGAAUCUGCGGUUGGAUCACCUCCUUACCUUAAAGAAGC
rnacentral:rRNA from 1 species